UACGAAGGGGGCUAGCGUUGUUCGGAUUUACUGAGCGUAAAGCGCACGUAGGCGGAUCGUUAAGUCGGGGGUGAAAUCCUGGAGCUCAACUCCAGAACUGCCUUCGAUACUGGCGAUCUUGAGUCCGGAAGAGGUGAGUGGAACUCCUAGUGUAGAGGUGGAAUUCGUAGAUAUUAGGAAGAACACCAGUGGCGAAGGCGGCUCACUGGUCCGGUACUGACGCUGAGGUGCGAAAGCGUGGGGAGCAAACAGG
rnacentral:rRNA from 1 species